rnacentral:rRNA from 1 species
UUGGUGCCUUCGGGAACUGUGAGACAGGUGCUGCAUGGCUGUCGUCAGCUCGUGUUGUGAAAUGUUGGGUUAAGUCCCGCAACGAGCGCAACCCUUAUCCUUUGUUGCCAGCGGUUAGGCCGGGAACUCAAAGGAGACUGCCAGUGAUAAACUGGAGGAAGGUGGGGAUGACGUCAAGUCAUCAUGGCCCUUACGACCAGGGCUACACACGUGCUACAAUGGCAUAUACAAAGAGAAGCGACCUCGCGAGAGCAAGCGGACCUCAUAAAGUAUGUUGUAGUCCGGAUUGGAGUCUGCAACUCGACUCCAUGAAGUCGGAAUCGCUAGUAAUCGUAGAUCAGAAUGCUACGGUGAAUACGUUCCCGGGCCUUGUACACACCGCCCGUCACACCAUGGGAGUGGGUUGCAAAAGAAGUAGGUAGCUUAACCUUCGGGAGGGCGCUUACCACUUUGUGAUUCAUGACUGGGGUGAAGUCGUAACAAGGUAACCGUAGGGGAACCUGCGGUUGGAUCACCUCCUUACCUUAAAGAA